CUGUUCGUUUAUGUGGAAUUCGAUAAGCCAAAAUCGAAAUGGAUACAAUUCUCUUCAGUAAAUUACCUAUUUACCAACAUCGUAUAGGCAAUUUGGAUCGAGAUAAUAUUGAUUAUCUUUAGGAGGGGUUAAUUACAUGUCCGUUGAUUGGUAUCCCCCAAAUUAAAUCCUACAUGGCCAUCGGAAAUAACUUCAAUUUUAAAUCAGCGAGGCCCGAUGGUGGUGGAGCGGUGCGAUUUCAGAGGUACAAUAGCUUCAACGCAUCUCUGAGCAAUGCCUAAGUCAUUUGUCGUCGGUAGUAACCCUUCGCAAGAGGUGAGUAUUUUGAUUGAGAGUUUGAUAUUCUUGAUGGUUGAUUGAGAGAUAAAUCUUUCGAUUUUCAAGAUGAGACUAUUUCUUCCGUCAUCUCCAAAUAUUCGUCAACGCAACAGAGGACGCCAGAGAGAUCAAUUUUCAAUUUUGUCGCGAUCUCAAAGGAAUUGGAGCUGCGCAGGAAAUCUGGGAGUGCAAUGUGACAGUAUUUCUUGUUUUUCUGCAAUUUCGUUGUCGAAAUUGUGGUCAGGUUCAGAAGGUGCUCUGAUCCUUAUUUUUUUAGUUUCUUAGCUAUUUUCUAAUCAGCUCGCGAAGCUUUCGACUUUUCGACAUCUGAGGAAAAUUAAGAUAAUUUUCGGUGUCA